rnacentral:rRNA from 1 species
CGAACGGGUGCGUAACGCGUAUGCAACCUGCCUUAUACAAAAGGAUAGCCCAUGGAAACGUGGAUUAAUACUUUAUGGUACUAUAAAACUGCAUAGUUUAAUAGUUAAAACUUCGGUGGUAUAAGAUGGGCAUGCGUAGGAUUAGGUAGUUGGUGGGGUAAAGGCCCACCAAGCCGACGAUCCUUAGGGGUUCUGAGAGGAUUAUCCCCCACACUGGUACUGAGACACGGACCAGACUCCUACGGGAGGCAGCAGUGAGGAAUAUUGGUCAAUGGGCGCAAGCCUGAACCAGCCAUCCCGCGUGCAGGAUGACGGCCCUAUGGGUUGUAAACUGCUUUUAUUUGCCAAGAAUGGUUACUACGUGUAGUGAUUUGACGGUAGCAAAUGAAUAAGACCGCUAACU